CACACUCUUUGGUUAAGAGGACAACCAACCCAUAUGGCCUACAGCGACCUAUGCUCGAUAGAAGCUGUUGUCCUUAUUAAUAGCCUAUCAUUUGGUCGUGAACUGUUUUAAGGACUAAUCGAUAAAUUCUCUCUUUAUCGAAUCUAAAUAGUCCUAAGGACUUCAUCAUAACAACAGAGUUCAUUAGAAGAUGAAAGCUUAUGAUGAAAAUGCCAAAUAUAUUUUAUUUAUUAACAAAUCAAUUACAAUACUUGGUUGCUCA
rnacentral:lncRNA from 1 species